rnacentral:rRNA from 1 species
UACGAAGGGGGCUAGCGUUGCUCGGAAUUACUGGGCGUAAAGCGCACGUAGGCGGCUUUCUAAGUCGGGGGUGAAAUCCUGGAGCUCAACUCCAGAACUGCCUUCGAUACUGGAGAGCUUGAGUCCGGGAGAGGUGAGUGGAACUGCGAGUGUAGAGGUGAAAUUCGUAGAUAUUCGCAAGAACACCGGUGGCGAAGGCGGCUCACUGGCUCGUAACUGACGCUCAGGCGCGACAGCGUGGGGAGUCAAACAGG